CUUCCUCUUUCGAUAGCGAGAGAAAACAUCAAAACUGGGAAGUUAUGUAUUCCAAAUUCCUUUAACAAGAACUUUUCAUGAUUUUUUUCACAAACAGAAAAGACAAAUCUUCUAUUGGAUAAAUGUUAUGAAGGUAAAAAGACACAUGAUUAUGAUUUCAUCUAGCAGGUUUAACACAAAGACAGAACGUACAAGUAAUUGGAUUUACUGCUGUAGAAGAAAGUAAAGGAACACCCUCCAAGGAACCAGGCUAUUUUAUUCUGCUCUAAUUUUGAAAGCUGUCAGACCUUGCCAAGAAGUUUAAAUGCCAAGAAUCCAGAAUUAUGCUCCUGGACCAGAUGAAUCAACCCUCAUAUGCUUUGGUAAGU